rnacentral:pre_miRNA from 1 species
UUAAUACUCCCUCCGUCCCAAAAUUCGUGUCUUAGAUUUGUCUAAAUACGGAUGUAUCAAGUCACGUUUUAGUAUUAGAUACAUCCGUAUCUAGACAAAUUUAAGACAAGAGUUUUGGGACGGAGGGAGUACUUA